rnacentral:tRNA from 2 species
CAGAGGGUAGUUUAAUUUAGAAUUCUAGCUUUGGGAGCUAGUGGUGGGAGUUAAAAUCUCUUCUCUCUG